GUUUGGCAAAACACAAGUGACAGGAUAAGGGAGAAUGGUUUUAAAGUGACAGAGAGUAGAUUCAGAUUACUUAUAAGGAAGAAGUUCUU